UACAGAGGAUGCAAGCGUUAUCCGGAAUGAUUGGGCGUAAAGCGUCUGUAGGUGGCUUUUUAAGUCCGCCGUCAAAUCCCAGGGCUCAACUCUGGACAGGCGGUGGAAACUACCAAGCUGGAGUACGGUAGGGGCAUGCGGAACUUCCGGUGGAGCGGUGAAAUGCGUUGAUAUCGGAAGGAACGCCGGUGGCGAAAGCGGCGUGCUGGACCUUUUCUGACGCUGAUGCGCGAAAGCCAGGGGAGCGAACGGG
rnacentral:rRNA from 1 species